rnacentral:rRNA from 1 species
AACGACUCUCGGCAACGGAUAUCUCGGCUCUCGCAUCGAUGAAGAACGCAGCAAAAUGCGAUACUUGGUGUGAAUUGCAGAAUCCCGCGAACCAUCGAGUUUUUGAACGCAAGUUGCGCCCGAAGCCAUCCGGCCGAGGGCACGUCUGCCUGGGUGUCACGC